AGAGUUUGAUCCUGGCUCAGGACGAACGCUGGCGGCGUGCCUAACACAUGCAAGUCGAGCGGAGACAGUGAGUAGCUUGCUAUGAGCUGUUUUAGCGGCGGACGGGUGAGUAACGCGUGAGCAACCUUUCCCAGACAGGGGAAUAACACACCGAAAGGUGUACUAAUACCGCAUAAGACCACGGGAUCACAUGGUUCUGGGGUAAAAGAUUUUAAUCGGUUUUGGGGUGGGCUCGCGUCCGAUUAGGUAGUUGGUGAGGUAACGG
rnacentral:rRNA from 1 species